UUAAGAGGUUGUCUCUGUCGUUACCCACAAGUUGGGAUACGGGAAUGCAACUGUUGA
rnacentral:ncRNA from 1 species